ensembl:snoRNA
AGACUAAUAAGAAGUUAAACUUAUGUCUUAAGAGGCUUACACAGAACGGUAAUGGAAAUCUCUAUGAAACCCAGAAAAGGUAUGGUAAAACUCCUGCUUUCAUCCUUUCUGGAGUUGUAGAU